rnacentral:sRNA from 1 species
GCUGGGUGUGGUAGUGCACACCUGUAAUUCAGGUGGCUCAGGAGGCUGAGGCAGGAGGAUAACAAGUUCAAAGUCAGCCUUAGCAAUGGCAAGGUGCUAGGCAACUCAGUGAGACCCUGUCCCUA